CAUGAAAAUUAGGCCUGGAGGGAAAUGAUCUGAUAGCACCUCUUCUUGAAAUCAGUCCUUGCAUCUGGAUGUUACAAACUCCCACCCAACGCCUCAAAACCCACUGGUGGGGUUGAAUCUUUGAGGGAGGGGCUGCUGUCUUUUCCCAGAGCCCUGGGAAUGAGUAAGAUGACCAAAGUCCUGCGUCACUGCAAUGAAGCAGAAGCUCUGAGAGCCCUCCAAGUCCCGAGUGUCUCCAGACAGUUUUAGUCCAGUCUGCCCUCCUUCUGCCGGAGCCCAAGGGUGUCUCAGCCACAAGAACUAAAAAGGGUAGAGGGAAAUUUUUUUUUCUUCCCUACAGUUUGGUGACUUUAAAACUUGUUGAGAAACUAUCCUCUCUCAGGAGCCUACAGACAAGAUUCUGGGAAAAUUGACAGAAGCUUACAAAGGGGGAACAAGAUUAACAAUGAGGUUUUGUGCUCUUGCCCUCUGGUGAGAGAUUGUGCCCUAAGGGAUCUGGAAAACAGGAUUACUCAAACAUUCCAAAGUCCAGCUGCAGCAUGAUCCAGGGGUUCCUGAGGUGGGUAAGGCAUUGGCAUUGGGAGACAGAUGACUACAUGACUCAGAG